rnacentral:rRNA from 1 species
AUUGAACGCUGGCGGCAUGCCUAACACAUGCAAGUCGAACGGCAGCACGGGAGCUUGCUCCUGGUGGCGAGUGGCGGACGGGUGAGUAAUGCAUAGGAAUCUGCCCAGUAGCGGGGGACAACUUGGGGAAACUCAAGCUAAUACCGCAUGCGCCCUACGGGGGAAAGCGGGGGACCUUCGGGCCUCGCACUAUUGGAUGAGCCUAUGUCAGAUUAGCUUGUUGGUGGGGUAACGGCCUACCAAGGCGACGAUCUGUAGCUGGUCUGAGAGGACGAUCAGCCACACUGGGACUGAGACACGGCCCAGACUCCUACGGGAGGCAGCAGUGGGGAAUAUUGCACAAUGGGCGAAAGCCUGAUGCAGCAAUGCCGCGUGUGUGAAGAAGGCCUGCGGGGUUGUAAAGCACUUUUCAGUAGGGAGGAAACAGUAGCCGGUUAAUAUCCGGUUGCCUUGACGUUACCUACAGAAGAAGCACCGGCUAACU